GCGAACCGACGGGAGCUUGCUCCCUUAGGUUAGCGGCGGACGGGUGAGUAACACGUGGGUAACCUGCCUGUAAGACUGGGAUAACUCCGGGAAACCGGGGCUAAUACCGGAUGCUUGAUUGAACCGCAUGGUUCAAUCAUAAAAGGCGGCUUCGGCUGCCGUUUACAGAUGGACCCGCGGCGCAUUAGCUAGUUGGUGAGGUAAUGGCUCACCAAGGCGACGAUGCGUAGCCGACCUGAGAGGGUGAUCGGCCACACUGGGACUGAGACACGGCCCAGACUCCUACGGGAGGCAGCAGUAGGGAAUCUUCCGCAAUGGACGAAAGUCUGACGGAGCAACGCCGCGUGAGUGAUGAAGGUUUUCGGAUCGUAAAGCUCUGUUGUUAGGGAAGAACAAGUACCGUUCGAAUAGGGCGGUACCUUGACGGUACCUAACCAGAAAGCCACGGCUAACUACGUGCCAGCAGCCGCGGUAAUACGUAGGUGGCAAGCGUUGUCCGGAAUUAUUGGGCGUAAAGCGCGCGCAGGCGGUUUCUUAAGUCUGAUGUGAAAGCCCCCGGCUCAACCGGGGAGGGUCAUUGGAAACUGGGGAACUUGAGUGCAGAAGAGGAGAGUGGAAUUCCACGUGUAGCGGUGAAAUGCGUAGAGAUGUGGAGGAACACCAGUGGCGAAGGCGACUCUCUGGUCUGUAACUGACGCUGAGGCGCGAAAGCGUGGGGAGCGAACAGGAUUAGAUACCCUGGUAGUCCACGCCGUAAACGAUGAGUGCUAAGUGUUAGAGGGUUUCCGCCCUUUAGUGCUGCAGCAAACGCAUUAAGCACUCCGCCUGGGGAGUACGGUCGCAAGACUGAAACUCAAAGGAAUUGACGGGGGCCCGCACAAGCGGUGGAGCAUGUGGUUUAAUUCGAAGCAACGCGAAGAACCUUACCAGGUCUUGACAUCCUCUGACACCCCUAGAGAUAGGGCUUCCCCUUCGGGGCANAGUGACAGGUGGUGCAUGGGUUGUCGUCAGCUCGUGUCGUGAAGAAUGUGGGUUAAGUCCCGCAACGAGCGCAACCCUUGAUCUAGUUGCAGCAUUCAGUUUGGGCAC
rnacentral:rRNA from 1 species